AAAUUGAAGAGUUUGAUCAUGGCUCAGAUUGAACGCUGGCGGCAGGCCUAACACAUGCAAGUCGAACGGUAACAGGAAACAGCUUGCUGUUUCGCUGACGAGUGGCGGACGGGUGAGUAAUGUCUGGGAAACUGCCUGAUGGAGGGGGAUAACUACUGGAAACGGUAGCUAAUACCGCAUAAUGUCGCAAGACUAAAGAGGGGGACCUUCGGGCCUCUUGCCAUCGGAUGUGCCCAGAUGGGAUUAGCUAGUAGGUGGGGUAACGGCUCACCUAGGCGACGAUCCCUAGCUGGUCUGAGAGGAUGACCAGCCACACUGGAACUGAGACACGGUCCAGACUCCUACGGGAGGCAGCAGUGGGGAAUAUUGCACAAUGGGCGCAAGCCUGAUGCAGCCAUGCCGCGUGUAUGAAGAAGGCCUUCGGGUUGUAAAGUACUUUCAGCGGGGAGGAAGGGAGUAAAGUUAAUACCUUUACUCAUUGACGUUACCCGCAGAAGAAGCACCGGCUAACUCCGUGCCAGCAGCCGCGGUAAUACGGAGGGUGCAAGCGUUAAUCGGAAUUACUGGGCGUAAAGCGCACGCAGGCGGUUUGUUAAGUCAGAUGUGAAAUCCCCGGGCUCAACCUGGGAACUGCAUCUGAUACUGGCAAGCUUGAGUCUCGUA
rnacentral:rRNA from 1 species